AAUGAGCAACUCCGCUGGGUUUUACAUGUGUCCUUGAGCAAGACCGAGGAGAGGUUCUUAAGGUAGUAGAAGAGCCCACUAGCUGAUAGAAUCGCCGAGGGGCUGGCGGAUGAAUCCAGGGCGAGUAGAGUAGCCCAAUGGGCAGCGGAGUAACAGCCCCAGGUGGGGAGUAGCAGCUCUUGGGGCUUGUCGCCUCCCCUUCCAGGGAAUCUCCACCUUUCUUCAUUCCAGCCCGAAACCCUGGAAAUGGGUGGGGCCAGACCCAGGUGGAGGCGUGGCUUGGGAACUGGGGGACCACCGAGAGGAGCUUGGGCAGGUUUGGGGGAUUUCCCGGGACUGACCGCGCGCCACCCCCAUCCCCAUUGUCCCACUUGUCGUCAGUUGUCCCUGGAGUAGAGGUCUCGCCGCCCUUCUGGAAUGCGAGCAGCGGGGCGGGAGGACGACCUCCGCAGGUAACGGACCAGGCCCAACAGUUCCGAACAAGAGGAGUCCGGAAUCAUCCGCCAGCGCACCACGCUGCGGCCCAGAACGGAGCAUCGGGGAGUCUUAGGGCCCGCCAUUGACCCGAACCGACACGCAAGACGGUCCGUCAUUUAUGCUGGACGAAUGAGGAAGCCACGUUUUGUGGUGAACUAGUGCUACCUAGUGAGGAGUCCAAGAUUCCAGAAGAGCAGAGGCCUGUUUCUGCCCCCACGGCCCACCUCCAGCCCUGCUUGAUAUCAGAAAAAUCAUUGACGAUGGCAGAAACUAUAACCCCCCCCCCCACCUUGACAAUACAAAUGGAUUGCUCAGAGACUUGCCAGGAGACAUUUUUAAAACUUUGGCAGAAUAAUCAAUGAGUGAGCAAGGAAGCUGUGGUCUUCAAACCGAAUUGAUUUCAACGAUGAAUGAAUAAAGAUGGCGGCUCAGCUAGUGCAUUCUCUAAUG